UAUGUGCUCCAUAACAGCAUUCAACAACUGGUUGUCCAUGGACCACUGAUGGUCCGUGAGGUCAGAAAGGUUGGCAACCGCUGC